UACGUAGGGUGCGAGCGUUGUCCGGAUUUAUUGGGCGUAAAGAGCUCGUAGGCGGUUUGUCGCGUCGGCCGUGAAAUCUCCACGCUUAACGUGGAGCGUGCGGUCGAUACGGGCAGACUUGAGUUCGGUAGGGGAGACUGGAAUUCCUGGUGUAGCGGUGAAAUGCGCAGAUAUCAGGAGGAACACCGAUAGCGAAGGCAGCUCGCUGGGACGGUACUGACGCUGGAGGUGCGAAAGCGUGGGGAGCGAACAGG
rnacentral:rRNA from 1 species